UAUAUGGCCGUUCUUAGCUGGUGGAGUGAUUUGUCUGGUUAAUUCCGAUAACGAAUGAGACUCUGGCAUGCUAACUAGUUAUGCAACCCCCGAGCAUGCCCAAAUAAAUCUGUUAGUCUCUAACAUGCCACCGGACUGGACUCCUCGCUGUUUUUGCAGAUAACGUUUCUUUUCCCCCCAUUUGUUAGCUUAAUAGCUGUGUUGAUCUGAUAUGUAAAUACAUUUUCAUGGUCUUUCAAAGUACUUUAGAAGUAACUGCCCAGAGGUGAAACUACAUUCCUUUGCUUAGGGUGGAGUAACUCCUGUUUGACUGGCAAACACAUUUUAUUAAUUAUGAUUUCAGUUUAUGUCCUUAACUUUGCAUCAGUUGUUUGCAACUAACAUUACACAAGGAUAUUAACAGGUGAGUUAUG
rnacentral:ncRNA from 1 species